rnacentral:rRNA from 1 species
AUUGAACGUUGGCGGCAUGCCUUACACAUGCAAGUCGAACGGUAACAGGGCUUCGGAUGCUGACGAGUGGCGAACGGGUGAGUAAUACAUCGGAACGUGCCCGAUCGUGGGGGAUAACGCAGCGAAAGCUGUGCUAAUACCGCAUACGAUCUACGGAUGAAAGCGGGGGAUCGCAAGACCUCGCGCGGACGGAGCGGCCGAUGGCAGAUUAGGUAGUUGGUGGGAUAAAAGCUUACCAAGCCGACGAUCUGUAGCUGGUCUGAGAGGACGACCAGCCACACUGGGACUGAGACACGGCCCAGACUCCUACGGGAGGCAGCAGUGGGGAAUUUUGGACAAUGGGCGCAAGCCUGAUCCAGCCAUGCCGCGUGCAGGAUGAAGGCCUUCGGGUUGUAAACUGCUUUUGUACGGAACGAAAAAGCUCUCUCUACUACAGGGGGUGAAUGACGGUACCGUAAGAAUAAGCACCGGCUAACUACGUGCCAGCCGCCGCAGUAAGAC